AUUGGCCCUACACAUCUAGAUUAUGAUAAUGCUAUUUUUGCAGGAAUGCAAUUCAAAUAUACAUUGUUUGUGAGAGUGUCUGAUGAGGGAAAUCCUGUACUAUCAACAAUUAUUACAAUCAUCAUAAGGGUGCGUUGCAUAAAUGAAUUGAAUCCAAUUGGAACUACAUCGACAUUUACCUUCAGUAUAUUGGAAAAUAGUCCUACUGAUACCCUAGUUGGAAAAAUUUCACUUACAGAUGCAGACUGACCACUUAAUAAUACAAAGUAUACAAUUGUUGGAGGUAAUUUUGGAAAACCUCCCAAAUUUUACAUUGAAGCAGACACAGGAAUGAUAAAGCUAUUGAAUUCACUAGAUAGGGAAGUUGAACCACAGUACAAAAUUGCUGUGAGAAUAACAGACUUGGACAACGAUGCUAUCCCUGACCCCCUCAGACAGAGAAGUAGUACUGCUCAGGUGAUCAUCAAUGUUCUG